rnacentral:ribozyme from 1 species
UGCACAGCAACUCCUAUCCCUACCUCAUCCUGGUACAGGCCGGGGUACGAACAACCUUAAGGAAGAUCGGGUAACCAACCCCGGUGGGAACUCUGAUUGUACGCUGACAGGGAAGG